ensembl:lncRNA
GCUGCCUACAAGAGCUGAACCCCACCACCAGCUUUGGGGACCCAGGAAGUUCUGAGUUCAAGGUGAAAGAGUCAAAGUGCCCUGGGCAAGGGCCCUCUCGAUUGGGAAGAGCAGGGGUGGGGUCUGCCUGGGAGGAGCCUACUGGGGGGAGGUGGUCCUACCUCCUAUAGCCAGGGGGAAGAAGGGACCGCCACUGAAGUACCUUUUACACAACAUAAAAGAAGUUUAAUGAAUUCAGGAAUCAGGCGAGGGCUGUGAUGGAAGUGAGGCCCGCUAGGACAGCCACUGAGGUCUCCAGGGUCCCUUGGGGAAAGUGGGCCUGGCACGGGGAUUCCCUCACAAGCCUGGGCCCAAAUGCUCUUGCUUCCCAGAACCUGGCCCAGAGGGCAGAGAGGAGACAAGCAGGACCCACAACCCAGAGGCCCUGUCAACAGCCAUCCGUGAAUGUAGGCGGUCGAAAGCUCACUCAGGGAGCCCCAAGGCUCUGGGGCCUGCCCUCCCGGGGCCUGCCAGAACCCCAGGUUCCCCUGGAGGGGCUGGGCUGGAGCCUGGGCCGGGAGAGAGCAGAACUUCAGAAACUGCUGAGGAUCGAGAUUCCUCAGAGGCAGAGAGAGGGGGACCCUCAGGAGCAGAAAGAAGAGAGCCCCCAGGGUCAGAGAGGGGAAGCCCCCCAGGGGGAGAGCAAAGUUCCUUCCGGACACAGAGAGAAGACACGCCAGGGUCAGUGUGCGGAGGCCACUCAGGCUCUGAGGGAGGAGGUCUCGGAGUAUCCCAGGUGUGAGGCUCCCCAGAGUGAGAGGAGAGAGUCUCCUCAAGGUCAAAGAGGAAACAGCCCUAAGUGUCAGAGAACGGAGGUUCUCCAGGAGACACAAGACCCGGAAAUGAAGACCCUUCAGACUUCCCCAGGCCCUAACUGGGAGGUGGCUGAGGGAGAGGUGCCUACACAACCCCCGGAGGAAGGCGGCUCCCUGGGAAUUUCUAGGGAUCUCUGUAGGUCCCUGGGAGAACAGAUGCCACAGCAAAGGGGUAGGGAGAGCCCUGGCUCCGGGGAAAGGGCCGCCCAGCGGCGAGAGUCAGCACCGGGCGCGGGAGAGCAGAGGGCCGCCGGGGAGCGGGUACGGACUCCCCUUCCACCCCCGAGGCCCCCGACCCGGCCGCUGCUCCCAAGCCCAGGGGCCGAGACGCUAGAGGCCCCAAGCACUGGGAGCUCGGGGCAGCAGGAGCGCCCCGCAGCUCCCCGGGGGCACCCAGGGCUGGUGCCCGACCCGCACGGGCUUCAGGACCGGGAAGAAAGCCCAGGCCCGGCGGAGCAGGUGCCGGACGCCGGCGGGGAGCCGAGGGGCGACGCGGAGGCCCCCAAGGCCUCGAAGGCCGCGUGGCCCUGGCCCCCGGGCAGGGAGAAGGCGUCGGCGGGCGUGAGCGCGGUGCAGCAGGAGACCGCUCUGCAGCGGCUGCUGGAGCUGCACCGCGCGGCCAGGCGCCGGCGGCGGCAGGAUCGCGAGCAGCAGCGGCUCCGGGUCUUGGAAUGCCUCCGCAUCGCCAGGAACCGCCACUGCCGGGUGCACCCUCUGGGGCCCCCACCCAGCCCAGCUCAGCUCCAGCCACAGGCAAGGCUCCCAGAAGGCGGUGGCGUCACCACCAUCUGGGCCAGGGCGGGGGGAACGCGGGGAUGGGGGAGGGGAGGGCUGGGUCCGAGCUGGUAUCGCCUCCUGGAUGCCUUUGGAGUGCACACUUGCACUGACCCCGACAGAGGGCGGGAGGGGGGCGUCAGUCCGGGUGCUGCCCCCUGCUGGCUCCAUCAAGCCCGCGGGGUCCGAGGCCGGGGCGCUCAGCGCUCUGCACCGCCCCAGGAGGACGCGGCGGGGCAGCGGCGAGCCCUGCGGCAGCAGCUGCAACAAGUGCAUCGGGAGAGGACCCGGCGGCUGCGGGCCCUCGGGGCCAGGAACACCCAGAACUUCCAGCAGCUACUGUGGCCUCGCACUGAGGACCCUUUGCCAGGAGAGGAGCCCUCGCCCUUCGCAGCCCCAUCUAGUCAUUGCUGAAUCCUCAAAGGGAUGA